rnacentral:rRNA from 1 species
GCGAAAACUUUACAAUGCUGGCAACAGCGAUAAGGGAACCUCGAGUGCCAGGUUACAAAUCUGGCUGUCGAGAUGCCUAAAAAGCAUUUCAUAGCAAGGGACGGGCAAGACCGGUGCCAGCCGCAGCGGUAACACCGGAGGCUCGAGUGGUAACCGUUAUUAUUGGGUCUAAAGGGUCUGUAGCCGGCCGGAUAAGUCUCUUGAGAAAGCUGGCAGCUUAACUGUCAGGCUUUCAGGAGAUACUGUCUGGCUCGAGGCCGGGAGAGGUGAGUGGUACUUCAGGGGUAGGGGUGAAAUCUUGUAAUCCUUGAAGGACCACCAGUGGCGAAGGCGUCUCACCGGAACGGACCUGACGGCAAGGGACGAAAGCUAGGGGCACGAACC